AUUGAACGCUGGCGGCAGGCCUAACACAUGCAAGUCGAGCGGAUGAAGGGAGCUUGCUCCUGGAUUCAGCGGCGGACGGGUGAGUAAUGCCUAGGAAUCUGCCUGGUAGUGGGGGAUAACGUCCGGAAACGGGCGCUAAUACCGCAUACGUCCUGAGGGAGAAAGUGGGGGAUCUUCGGACCUCACGCUAUCAGAUGAGCCUAGGUCGGAUUAGCUAGUUGGUGGGGUAAAGGCCUACCAAGGCGACGAUCCGUAACUGGUCUGAGAGGAUGAUCAGUCACACUGGAACUGAGACACGGUCCAGACUCCUACGGGAGGCAGCAGUGGGGAAUAUUGGACAAUGGGCGAAAGCCUGAUCCAGCCAUGCCGCGUGGGUGAAGAAGGUCUUCGGAUUGUAAAGCACUUUAAGUUGGGGGAAGGGCAGUAAGUUAAUACCUUGCUGUUUUGACGUUACCAACAGAAUAAGCACCGGCUAACUUCGUG
rnacentral:rRNA from 1 species